rnacentral:rRNA from 1 species
GNGUCNACGGGUAGCCGGCCUGAGAGGGUGGACGGCCACAUUGGGACUGAGACACGGCCCAGACUCCUACGGGAGGCAGCAGUGGGGAAUAUUGCACAAUGGGCGCAAGCCUGAUGCAGCGACGCCGCGUGGGGGAUGAAGGCCUUCGGGUUGUAAACUCCUUUCAACCAUGACGAAGCAUUAUGUGACGGUAGUGGUAGAAGAAGCACCGGCUAACUACGUGCCAGCAGCCGCGGUAAUACAAAA